rnacentral:rRNA from 1 species
UCUUUAUAACUCUUAGUGUAAAUAGUUUGGGGUUUAAAUUAUUUAAAUAUAAUAUGUUAUUUGGUUGGGGUGACAUGAAGUUAAUUAACACUUCAUUACAAAACUUAAAUUAUAGGUUUAUUGAUCCGGCGCCCGAUUAAAAGUACAAGU